UACGCAGGGUGCAAGCGUUAAUCGGAAUUACUGGGCGUAAAGCGUGCGUAGGCGGUUUCUUAAGUCUGCUGUGAAAGCCCCGGGCUCAACCUGGGAAUGGCGGUGGAUACUGAGGAGCUGGAGUACGGUAGAGGAAGGUGGAAUUCCCGGUGUAGCGGUGAAAUGCGUAGAGAUCGGGAGGAACAUCAGUGGCGAAGGCGGCCUUCUGGACCAGUACUGACGCUGAGGCGCGAAAGCGUGGGUAGCAAACGGG
rnacentral:rRNA from 1 species